GACGAACGCUGGCGGCGUGCUUAACACAUGCAAGUCGAACGGAAAGGCCUGCUUUCCCUUGUGGAUUGCGGGUACUCGCGUGGCGAACGGGUGAGUAACACGUGAGUGAUCUGCCCCCAACUUGGGUAUAAGCCUGGGAAACUGGGUCUAAUUCCCGAUAGGACUGCAGGGUGGUGCCUGUGGUGGAAAACGAUUUUCUAGUGGUUGGGGAUGAGCUCGCGGCCUAUCAGCUUGUUGGUGGGGUAAUGGCCUACCAAGGCGGCGACGGGUAGCCGGCCUGAGAGAGUGGACGGGCACGUUGGGACUGAGAUACGGCCCAGACUCCUACGGGAGGCAGCAGUGGGGAAUAUUGCGCAAUGGGCGGAGGCCUGAGGCAGCGACGCCGAGUGGGGGAUGACGGCCUUCGGGUUGUAAACUCCUUUCGACCGCGAGGAAGCCACCUGGUUGGAAGGGUGGUGACGGUAGUGGUAGAAGAAGCACCGGCUAACUACGUG
rnacentral:rRNA from 1 species